UGGCUAAACGAGAGACCCGGAGAGAUAGUGAGUGAGCACUGGCUGCAAGUCAACUACAUACACGGCAAAAAAUGGUUGGGUAUGUUCAUUGUUUACUAUGCUAGUUCAUCUUUAUGCUCUUAAGAAGUUUUACUGAUAAAAUAUAGUUAAUGAUCAUUGAUGAAAUUGAAAAGAUUUCUAAUAAUUAAGCCCUUAUAAUUCUCAACUCCUAAGAAAGUUAUCAAAUUAUCUUUAAAACCAAAAGAAAGUACAAAAGAACCUCUUAAAUUAAAAAGUAUUGAUUAUAUCUUGACAUAUUUUUCCAUCCCCAGCAAACAUCAAACCCCUGAUGACUGAUCACUUUCUUUCCAUAAACAAAGCAACCUUUUUCUUUCAGUGUAGCAAGCGAGGCAAGUCGUUGUGUUUGAACUGUUUAAAGUUGAGACUUAAGUGAAGGCAACUACCCUCUAUCUGUCUUUCUAUCUCAAUAGCCAAUGUUUCUGUCUUGCUCUCUCGCUUCCGACUGCAAGCGCCGAUGUUCAUUAUCUCAGUCAAAGUCGCUGCACUCUGUGCUCAAUUGGCCGGCCUCAAGACGUCGACUUCAUAUAUCAUACGCCUUGGAGCUUAACCCUAGGGCGACCAAAGUGAUCGGGUUUGGAGCUCAAAAAUGGAGGAAAUCUUUUAAAUUUGUUCAAAAAAGAUAGUUUGAUAAAGCAAAUCAGUUAUAAUGCCUUGAUCUUAGCUUUUGGUGAAUCCGAUCUAUUAUAAAUAUUGGGAAUACCUUAUUAGACGAAAACUGAAUCUUAGAUAUACAUCCGUUGAGAGGUUUUUUUGGGCCUUAAUUUUUAUGGAAAAACUGGGAUGAGUCACUAACCGAUCCACCAAACCAUGUCAGUCGAAAAGGGGCGUGUUACCUGGCUCUCUCUCUUAACCCCAAUACCCCGCUUCUAGCCGUUGUCCCUCGAUACCAAUCUGAUGUGGCCCUGACAGAGCCAAAAAGAGAGGCGGCGAGAAGCAAGAAGCGAGAAAACCCCUGAGAAACAGGUUGGCCAGCCGAGAAUUGUGUAACGAUCGUCGACUUCCUCACCUACGCCUCACAGGUGCCGCCAGGUAAAUGGAAUGUGGAAUAUGGAAUGUGCAUAGAAUGCACUGAGAGAAAAUAUAAAGAUCUUCUUUAGGUAUUCCUUAAAUUUCAAUGAAAAAACCAAGGCAAUUUAAGUUUCUAAGUUAGUCAUAUAGUUAAAGGAAAGAUGAGUUUUAAACUCUUCGAAAAAUGUGAAAAAAUUCUUUUUUUUGAAUUUUUAAAGUGUUAAAUUCAGAAAAGGUUUUAGUAUGAAAAACCUUAAAAUUUUCAUCAGUAAAAUAUUAUCAAAUACACUUUUUGUCAGUUGUUACUUUACUCUUCUACCAAAAUUUGUAACUAUAUUCAUCUAGAUGCAAUUUUUUUCAGUGUCACCCCAGUAGAUACCCCAAAACGGAAGGCGAGAGUGACCCUAAUGGAGUUAAGGUGCCAAGAAGAAACGAGGGGCCGUACAUUAAUCUCUUGAUCCGCGAGGCUUCUUCGUCGUCUCGUCUCGUUCUUUGAUCUAGGAUCGUGGCCAUUAAUCAUAAUCGCCUUGGGGGCAUGGAAAAAGGGAAACCGGUUGGGUUUUGAGGUGUCCAAAACAUGUUUUACUUUUUUUGUUAAAGAAGCAACACUUUCAGGCCAAAGUCAUUUAAAUAAAAUUGUAAUUUAAAUUUUUGAAACGAAAGAGAAGCCUAAUGUCUUGUCUAUAAAUUGGAAAAUGCUACAAAAACACUUUUUUUUCCUAAAAUUAAGGCAAUGAAGAAGAUUUUGUUAUUAAUCAUUGUUUGGUCUAGGAUCUUAGGGCCAUUAAUCUUGAUCGGCUUGGGAUUUAACCGGUUUUGAUUGUGUGAAAUUUGUGAUUCAGAACUUGAUUUGCCAUCUUUUAAGAAGGAAAUUUUACUGAAAGUGUUAAAUUAUUUAAAUAACUUCAUGAUUUUACCGCAGUUUUCUGUUGUUACUCAUUGGUUGACCUAAUUUGUGGCAUGCCACUGGUUUAUUUGCAGGCAUUACGUAAUAUAUUUGUUUAUAAUUUUGUAAAAUCAAUUCAAAAUAUUUGUACUGGGAAUUCCCUUGUGGUUAGCCCUUGAAGUUGAACAGAAUUUAUAGGAACUUCGAGUCCCAUGGGUAAAACCCUUAUGGGAAUUUUAUUUCGAAAUAUUUGUCAAAUAAAAUUCCGUGUAAAUACUAUUUAGAAAGCUAUUUGGUCUACUUUUCUGAAGAGGCGUUCUCAUAGAACCAUAAAUCAUAAUAUUUAUAGAGAAAUUCCCCUUCAAAAUAACAAAUUAACCCCAAAGCAGCUAAUAAUUCCCAACUUUUGCUGGUUUUAGGUGUAACAUUCAUUGAUGAUUUCGAAAACAAAAUAAACAGUG